AACUUUAGUGAAGAGUGAAAUAGAACCUAAAAGCCAGUAGCCAGAAGAGAGGAGGGUUUUUAAUAGCCUGAAGUUUGGCCUCUCACCUUCUCUCUGCCUCAGAGACUCCAAGUUCUUUGGUACCUGGCCUUCAUGCUACUAGAGUGAAUGCUUGUCCUCCUCGAUGUUCCAGAAUUUCUUCCCAGUCCCAGUGUCCGAGGCUUGACAAUAGGCAGUGUGGAGUUUAAGGCAACUGGAUCCCCAAAGAAGCUGCUCAAAGUUAGACUACUGCUCAGAGAGACACCCC